GAUGAACGCUGGCGGCGUGCCUAAUACAUGCAAGUCGAGCGAACAGACGAGGAGCUUGCUCCUCUGACGUUAGCGGCGGACGGGUGAGUAACACGUGGAUAACCUACCUAUAAGACUGGGAUAACUUCGGGAAACCGGAGCUAAUACCGGAUAACAUGUUGAACCGCAUGGUUCAACAGUGAAAGACGGUCUUGCUGUCACUUAUAGAUGGAUCCGCGCCGCAUUAGCUAGUUGGUAAGGUAACGGCUUACCAAGGCAACGAUGCGUAGCCGACCUGAGAGGGUGAUCGGCCACACUGGAACUGAGACACGGUCCAGACUCCUACGGGAGGCAGCAGUAGGGACUCUUCCGCAAUGGGCGAAAGCCUGACGGAGCAACGCCGCGUGAGUGAAGAAGGUCUUCGGAUCGUAAAACUCUGUUAUUAGGGAAGAACAAAUGUGUAAGUAACUAUGCACGUCUUGACGGUACCUAAUCAGAAAGCCACGGCUAGCUACGUG
rnacentral:rRNA from 1 species